AGCAACCGACGACUCCGACCAAAACCCGCACCCUCCGGUGGAAUCGGUCACAAGAAACGACUAGAUCCAAUGUUCUCCGGUAACAUACGUAUUGCUCUCUCUGUUUUAAUUUUAGUUUAGUCUCUGUUUUGUGAUUGCAAAGUAAUUGAUAUUUUUUCUAGGUGAAGUAAUUAUUUCUUUAGAUUGUUUUCUGUUUGAUAGCCUUAUUUUAUUAUUAUCUCUGGGUUAGUUAUUUUGUAUAAAUUUGUUCAAAUUUUUUAGUGAUUCUUCCUUAGAAUGUUUACAUAUUGUUGAAAUUAUAUAGAUAUCUUUUGGUUCAUUUUUUUUAUUAUUAUUAUUAUAUUAUGUUUUACGUGAAAUUAUUUACCUUAUUCGCAUUAUAUUUUAUUGUUUAUCUUAAAAAAAAAUAGAUUAAUGCUUUGUUACGUUAUAAUUUUUAUGCACGGUAUGGAUUCAUCAUUAGUUUCUAUUAUUUAUUACACACUGUUUAUACGUGACUUUGCAGAAAUUGUGUUACUGUGGUAUUAUUUAAUUAAUUAUCAUUGUUUUAUUAGAUUGUUGAUCGCUUGGUGGUUCUUAUUUUCAUUAUUAUUAUUGGGAUAUGUUGUUAUAAUUUGAUGUUUGUUUAUUGCUUUGUAUUGUCCUUUAGUUAGUUGCGUAUGACUUUAUGCCAGAAAAAUAUUUCGUUGGCCAAUAAAAAAAUCUCCCUGUCGGUUUUGGAGGUCAAUCCAUUUAAAAAGAUGAAAAUUUAGUUUAUGUUUAUAUAUUUUAUUUGUUAAAAUUGGCCAAUGAAAAAAAAAAUUCGUCGGUUUUGGAGGCCUCCACAUUUUAAAAGAUGAAAAUUUAGUUUAAGUUUAUAUUUUUUGUAGUUAAAAUGGUCGAUGAAGAAAUUAACGUCGAUAUCCAAGGCCUCUCAUGUUAAUAAGACGAGUUUUUAUCUUGAAGUUAUUAUUUAAUUCAUUUAUUUUUAUUCAUAUUUAUUUAGUACUAACACUUUUACUAAAUGUCUUUACAGGUAAUUGAAGUUGCUUUCUAUUAAAGCCAUUCGAAUAAAGUUUGAAUUAUAUUAUUUAUUCAUUAUUUUGUAGAUAUUGGCAAUAGGCAAGCCUUAGGUCGAUUCUUACAUUAUUAUUUUAUUUUAUUAUUUGUGUAUAUUGCAUGUUGAUUGUACUUAUAUAUUUAUUUUUAUCUCUUCCUCAAUUUGAAAAAAAUGAAUUUAGUUAGAACCCAUAAUUGUGAAUUUUGAAGGAUGUCUAACACCUUCCUUUUGGAAUAACUUGAACUCCUUAUUUAGAAUCUAAUGAUUUCGUAGAUCAUUUAAUUAGUUUCCUAGUUUUUCUUAAAAUUAGGUGGCGACUCUUUUAAAAUUCGUUUAUUCUUUAAUUUCUUUUAAAAUUGACUUAAUUGAUUUUUUUUGAGUAACCAUGACUUUUUUUCCUAUUUGAAUAGAGUAGGGAUGUAAACAGAAUGACAAUUUCGCUGGAAAUAUAGAGGUGCUAACCAUUAUGAAUUUAUUUUUUCAAAUUGAGGAGCAUUUUCUUUUAUUGUGUUAUACCUUGUACUUUGUACAUUUUGUUGAUUAUUUGUAUAUUGUACUUAUUGUUUAUUCAUUUAAUUGUAUGUAUAUUGUCAUUUCAUGACAUAACUUUCGUCAAAUGGCAAAUAGAAUGCAUUAGGAUAAAGGCGGUUACGUGGCUUUCUACGGCUGUCCUUCAGAAAAGCACCUUCGAAUUCUUAUGAAGUGAUAAAUGAAUAGUUGGCGUGUGGUCAUCCAACGUCGUUUAUUAUAUUUCACCCCGUAGUUUGUCCAACUCGAGUAACCGGGUUUUAUCUAAAUCACUCUUAGUCAACUAGUGUAGAGCAAAGCCAAAAUCGUGUAUUUAGCGCAUUUGCUUGAGAUGACACAACACUCAAGACACAUUUGUAUAAGACAUGCAUUCAUUGUUUGUGUGUUAUGUGAUAUACCUGUUUUACGUGAAUAUGUUGUAUGAUAGUCCAUUAUUUUAAAGUUUUUAAGAGCUUUAGACAUAAAUAUCAAGUCACUUUUACCUUUUGAGUUUUUUUUGAAAG
rnacentral:lncRNA from 1 species